rnacentral:misc_RNA from 1 species
UCCGACUUUCAUCGGCUGUCUCUCUAGAGUGCCCAGCUUCACCUGCUGGCAACUAAAGAUAAGGGUUGCGCUCGUUGCGGGACUGAACCCAACAUCUCACGACACGAGCUGACGACAACCAUGCACCACCUGUCACCUCUGUCCCCGAAGGGAAAGAUCUAUUUCUAGACCGAUCAGAGGGAUGUCAAGCCUUGGUAAGGUUCUUCGCGUUGCAUCGAAUUAAACCACAUGCUCCACCGCUUGUGCGGGCCCCCGUCAAUUCCUUUGAGUUUCAGCCUUGCGGCCGUACUCCCCAGGCGGAGUGCUUACUGGGUUUCCUUCGGCACUGAGGACGUAAUGCCCCCAACACCUAGCACUCAACGUUUACGGCAUGGACUAC